GGAGGAAAAGAAACCAACAGGGAUUGCCUCAGUAACGGCGAGUGAAGCGGCAACAGCUCAAAUUUGAAAUCUGGAGCCUUCGGCUUCCGAGUUGUAAUUUGAAGAGGAUGUUUCGGUGCGGCCUGGGCCUAAGUUCCUUGGAACAGGACGUCAUGGAGGGUGAGAAUCCCGUACAUGGCUGCAGGCUUGCUUCUAUGUGAAACUCCUUCGAAGAGUCGAGUUGUUUGGGAAUGCAGCUCAAAAUGGGUGGUAAAUUUCAUCUAAAGCUAAAUAUUGGCGGGAGACCGAUAGCGCACAAGUAGAGUGAUCGAAAGAUGAAAAGCACUUUGAAAAGAGAGUUAAACAGUACGUGAAAUUGUUGAAAGGGAAGCGCUUGCAAUCAGACUCGCCUUCAGUUGAUCAGCCUUCCUUCUGGUUGGUGCACUCUGCUGUUGGCGGGCCAGCAUCAGUUGGGGCGGCGGGACAAAGGUGGCAGGAAUGUGGCUCGUUUCGGCGAGUGUUAUAGCCUGCUGCGUCAUGCCGCCAGCCCCGACUGAGGUCCGCGGUUCGCCUAGGAUGCUGGCUUAAUGGUUGUAAGCGACCCGUCUUGAAACACGGACCAAGGAGUCUAACAUCUAUGCGAGUCUUUGGGUGUAAAACCCAUGGGCGAAAUGAAAGUGAACGGAGGUGGGAGUCUUCGGAUGCACCAUCGACCGAUCCUGAUGUUCUCGGAUGGAUUUGAGUAGGAGCAUAGCUGUUGGGACCCGAAAGAUGGUGAACUAUGCCUGAAUAGGGUGAAGCCAGAGGAAACUCUGGUGGAGGCUCGCAGCGGUUCUGACGUGCAAAUCGAUCGUCAAAUUUGGGUAUAGGGGCGAAAGACUAAUCGAACCAUCUAGUAGCUGGUUCCUGCCGAAG
rnacentral:rRNA from 1 species